GACGAACGCUGGCGGCGUGCUUAACACAUGCAAGUCGAACGGAAAGGCCCCCUUGUGGGGUACUCGAGUGGCGAACGGGUGAGUAACACGUGAGUAACCUACCCUUGACUUUGGGAUAACUUCAGGAAACUGGGGCUAAUACCGGAUAGGAGCUCCUGCUGCAUGGUGGGGGUUGGAAAGUUUCGGCGGUUGGGGAUGGACUCGCGGCUUAUCAGCUUGUUGGGGGGGUAGUGGCUCACCAAGGCUUUGACGGGUAGCCGGCCUGAGAGGGUGACCGGCCACAUUGGGACUGAGAUACGGCCCAGACUCCUACGGGAGGCAGCAGUGGGGAAUAUUGCACAAUGGGCGGAAGCCUGAUGCAGCAACGCCGCGUGCGGGAUGACGGCCUUCGGGUUGUAAACCGCUUUCGCCUGUGACGAAGCGUGAGUGACGGUAAUGGGUAAAGAAGCACCGGCUAACUACGUG
rnacentral:rRNA from 1 species